GGGGCGUUAGCUCAGCUGAUAGAGCGCGGCAUUCGCAUUGCCGAGGUCAGGAGUUUGAUUCUCCUACGCUCCACCA
rnacentral:tRNA from 1 species